AUGAUCUUUGACAACUACAAGCAGAACCGAGCACGGAGGCUGCAGCUGCAGUGUGUUUUAGGCUCCCAGGAGAAAGACCUGCCUCCUAUGAUAUCAAACAGCGUGAAGCCUCCGAGGAUGCUGCAGCACCAGCCUGCAUCUAAUGCCAGGUCACAGCCACAGAUCAGGCUUAGCGCCAGCUCCCUGGACAAUAGAAGCACAAUGCAAGAUCACGAUUGCAGUAUCAGGGUGUUGUCUUCAUGGAUGACAGAGAAACAAAGCAACGCUCCUGCAACUGAUACUGGGUCCAGAGGCCCUUCUGAACAUUUUAUGGACAAUGCUGUCAACCAGAUCCAGGAACAAAUGAAAACAAAGGAACCAGGUGGCAACUCGACUGCAGUGACAGCUUUUUGUCUGGACCAGGCUAGAGCUAUAUCUAUGCCCCGUCUCAGUGCUGAGCUGCAGGUAACAUCUGAUUGUCUCAAUACUUGUUUCCAAACCUAAUGUUUGACUUUUAGUGUAAUAGCUGCUUUACUUUAAUAUAAUAACUCAACAUUUAAAGAAAACAAAACGGGUUCCAACCAGGGUUUAUUACAGGCGUUGGAGCGUGUGUUACGUCUUUUUGGCCUAUAGGUGGCGAUCAGCCCCCGUACUGCCCCUAUGACGCCGUACUAAGAUCAUGUUAUAUGGGCCCAGAGUAACAUCAGAAUGUCUUGGUGGUGUAAUGGUUAGUUAUUGUUUAAUAGUCUUGACUCGUCAGUUUUUUUGGUCCCUGGUUCGAAUCUCGGAGGAAGCAGAAGUUCUAAUUACUGAACAAUCAGAGUUGUUUUAUUUAAUGUUUACAUUUUGCCUACAAGAUAAUAACAAAUGACUAAUAGGGCUGGCUGUCUGUAUUAUUUAGCAGAUGAUUAUAGUAUUUAGUAUGUUAGUAUUUCCAAGUUAUGUCAGUUCAAAACCAAAAUAAGCAGGUUUAUUGUAUGCUUAGACAGACCGAGUGCGCGCUCCCACGUACAGCGUUCGAUUUGAUAAUGAUAUUAUUCCUGUGGGAGAUUUAGAUGUCGCAAAUAAAUCUUUGAAAGCUCCGGUAAAUAAAUAUGUU
rnacentral:lncRNA from 1 species